UACGUAGGGUGCGAGCGUUAAUCGGAAUUACUGGGCGUAAAGCGUGCGCAGGCGGUUCGCUAAGACCGAUGUGAAAUCCCCGGGCUUAACCUGGGAACUGCAUUGGUGACUGGCGGGCUAGAGUAUGGCAGAGGGGGAGUAGAAUUCCACGUGUAGCAGUGAAAUGCGUAGAGAUGUGGAGGAAUACCGAUGGCGAAGGCAGCCCCCUGGGCCAAUACUGACGCUCAUGCACGAAAGCGUGGGGAGCAAACAGG
rnacentral:rRNA from 1 species